UGCUGAGGGCCUCCUGACCACCAGGGGGCGCCAUGAUAUUUUAAAAAGAUAUGCAGUAAAACACACUUUACUAUCAUUUGGAGAAAAGGUUUAAGUAUCAGGCAGUUUCUGUUAGAGGGAGAAAAGAUUAGAAGCUGCAGUUUGCGUAACUGAAUUAGUAAAAACUACUGUAAAUAAUGUCGGAAGAUCGUGAAGAAGCAGCGAUCAUGAAGCGUUCGUAUUAAUCUAGCAUGGAAAUUGCAAAAAAUUAAAAAACAGAAAAGGAGAAAGACUCAAAACACCAGGAAGAAAUGAAUGCAAAUGAAUUGGAUUUCAGUUUGUUUACUUUUUGAUGUGAACUGAAGUGAAAUGUUAGUAGCUAGUAUCUAGAGUAAGAAGUGUUCGGCUAACACUCGUGAUGUUUGACGCCAUAUUACUCCAGUGGGCGUGAACGAUGGAGUCCCAGAAUGCGAUGCAACUAAACUCGCUAACUCUUGUGCCUUGCUAAAGUGGCAUGAGAAACAAGCAAAUUACCCCUUAAGCACCUCUUUUUCAAUUUGUG